rnacentral:tRNA from 1 species
CCUGUUCUGGUCUAGGGGUAUGAGUCUUGAUUCGGGUGUGAGAGGUCCUGGGUUCAAAUUCCGGUGAUGUGG